rnacentral:lncRNA from 1 species
UACAGGAACAUGACGUUGCGAAACAUUUAAACCAACCAUGACCAAGUAGACACCAGGAGCAAUAGGAAAGCUAGCCAUUGGAUUUCACGUCAUAUAAGGGGAGUGUUUUCUUCAUUUUCCUCCCCACCCCUUUAUAUGCGAACUUAGAAUUUAGGACAUUGAAGACAAUGUCUAAUUUAUAUUUGGGGGUGUAAAACAUUAGUUUUCUUUUGUUUUGUAUGUUUUUGCGUGCUUCUAUUGCAUUAAGAUAUAUAAAAAAUUUGAAAAUUUUUGUUUUUGUAUGAGUUAGUUGGUUUGACUCAUAAUGGGGAAUUUAUUGAAUUAUGAAUUGAUCUAUGAAUAGUAAAUAGAUUGCAUGCUUAGGUUAAUUUUUGAUUUUCCAUAUAAAGUUGAUAUAUAUUAAGCAUAUGAAUUAAGUUAAACAUUGUGUAGAAAUGAGUUGAUUAUUAGUCAGGUUAAAUCUUGAAGAUUGAAGCAAUCAAAAUUAAAGGAGGAUCUUUGUUUAUUGACAUGUUAAACUACAAUUGGUGAAAUUUACCUAAACUAGAGAGGUGGGAUAGUAUAAAAACAACUUUAGAUUCACAUACUUGUAAAGAGCAAAAAGAACAAGUUUUAGGGUGUAUGAAUCUCACGAGUGAGGAUAAGAAUAUAUUUAACUAUUAUGGGUCGAGAAUGGAACAAUUUAUGAAUUCAUGAUGCUAUGCAUAAUUCUUCACGCACACACGUCAACUUUACAUUGGAAAAGUAGACUUUGAUUUAUGCAUUGUGAUCUUGAAGUUGGGCUAAGAUUUAAGGACAAACAAAUGUUUAAUUUUGGGGUUUGAUAAGUGUAUUUUGUACCCUUAUUCAAAGCUUUAAAUAAUGAUAUUUUGUAGUUCUUUUGAUGAAAUAUAGCCUAAUAUGUGUUAUAUUGUAUCUAAUAGGUAAAACUCAUGAUUUGGUGAAGAAUUGGAGAAAACAAGCAAAAAUUAGAGAAAAUGGCAAAAUCAAAACUAUGAGGACUAAAGUGAAACAUUCCAAUAGUUGUGCCGGAUUGCAAGAUUGCAAUUCAAGAAUAUCAAGGUUAAUUGGAGGUGAAGAGAAGCCAACGGGAUGAAAAUUUGUCCAAAAAUAUCAAAAUACACACUUGAAAAAGUUCAAGGUCCAAUAUAAAAUUUGUCCAAAAAUGGCAAUACCGUGUGUGCACAUAGGCCUAAGGGCUAUGUGUACAUUCAAACCGUAUUUGGGUUGACUAAGGCUAUUUGAAGUCUAUUGUGCCAUUUUGUGCGUAUGCAUGGUUCAAUUCCGAGGAAUAAAUAUGUUGCCUUGUUUUAUUUUGAAAAUUUUUGGUAUGUAAUAUUUUGGUACUUAUGUAUACCAUAAGCCAUCUAAAAUGUGGAGAACUUCCUUAGAUCUAAAAAUUCAUAGAUUCUAAUCAAUUUUGGAGGUAAAAAACAAGGCUAACAACGUGGAAUCAAGGCAAAUUGAAUAGGAUAUUGAAGAUUCUUCAUUCGGAU